rnacentral:rRNA from 1 species
CACUCCUGCGGGAGGCAGCAGUGGGGAAUCUUGGACAAUGGGCGCAAGCCUGAUCCAGCCAUGCCGCGUGAGUGAUGAAGGCCCUAGGGUUGUAAAGCUCUUUCACCGGUGAAGAUAAUGACGGUAACCGGAGAAGAAGCCCCGGCUAACUUCGUGCCAGCAGCCGCGGUAAUACGAAGGGGGCUAGCGUUGUUCGGAUUUACUGGGCGUAAAGCGCACGUAGGCGGACUAUUAAGUCAGGGGUGAAAUCCCGGGGCUCAACCCCGGAACUGCCUUUGAUACUGGUAGUCUUGAGUUCGAGAGAGGUGAGUGGAAUUCCGAGUGUAGAGGUGAAAUUCGUAGAUAUUCGGAGGAACACCAGUGGCGAAGGCGGCUCACUGGCUCGAUACUGACGCUGAGGUGCGAAAGCGUGGGGAGCAAACAGGAUUAGAUACCCGUGUAGUCCCAUGA